AGAGGAGCUGCGGGAAGGACAGAUCUUCAGGAGAGGCUGCUGCCAGGAGAUCUCAGGGCUGCAUGGGAGAAACCCUCAGACACACCACAAGAGGAUCUCUGACUUGAGAGCAGAAGGGCUGAUCCAGCUCCUGGCUGCCUGUGUGUGUGCCCAGACCAGC